GACGAACGCUGGCGGCGUGCUUAACACAUGCAAGUCGAACGGAGAGGCCCUGCUUUUGUGGGGUGCUCGAGUGGCGAACGGGUGAGUAACACGUGAGUAACCUGCCCUUGACUUUGGGAUAACUUCAGGAAACUGGGGCUAAUACCGGAUAGGAGCUCCUGCUGCAUGGUGGGGGUUGGAAAGUUUCGGCGGUUGGGGAUGGACUCGCGGCUUAUCAGCUUGUUGGUGGGGUAGUGGCCUACCAAGGCUUUGACGGGUAGCCGGCCUGAGAGGGUGACCGGCCACAUUGGGACUGAGAUACGGCCCAGACUCCUACGGGAGGCAGCAGUGGGGAAUAUUGCACAAUGGGCGGAAGCCUGAUGCAGCAACGCCGCGUGCGGGAUGUCGGCCUUCGGGUUGUAAACCGCUUUCGCCUGUGACGAAGCGUGAGUGACGGUAAUGGGUAAAGAAGCACCGGCUAACUACGUG
rnacentral:rRNA from 1 species